rnacentral:lncRNA from 1 species
UAAGUAUGUGACACUACUGAGCUCAUCUUUAAAAAUACAUGUACAAAUGCCAACUCCAGCUGGUUUAACAAGCAUAGACAAUGUGGAUCCUUUUGAGGAAAAAUUGAAGGAUGAAGUGAUUAACCUGAUAUCUGAGGAGGAUACUUCCAGUGAUUCCUUUUUGGCUGCGAUAAAGACUGGAGCUAAUUUUGAGGAUCAGUUUGGAGACAUACAUGACUGGAAAGAAGACAGCAACAUCUACCGUUUCUUAUGCAGACAACUGUACCUUCACUAUACAGCAGCAGAGCAGGAUAUGUUGUCCAUUGUGUGGCAUCAUUAUGUUAAUGGUUUAAAGAAAGGAUCUGAUCAAUAUCAAGAGUUACCAACUGAUAGGACAAAGAAGAGAGAGUUUUGUAAUUAUCUAAGGAAAGGGAUCCCUCUGGAAUCUAGAUCACAAAUUUGGAGCAGUAUUAUCAAUCAUCAUAUUGGCAAAUGCUGAGACGUUAAGAACUCUGCCAGUAAAAGCAGAAGCUAUUAUCAGUCGUGUUUAGAGAGCCUAUCUGCUUUUAAUAAAGAAAUUAGUCUUGAUAUACAUGUACACAGGCCCUACCCAACAACAGACACUUUAAGAUCAAUGGAACUGGAGCUGAUAAGCUACAAAGAGUAUUGACAGCUUUUUCCAAUCAUAAUAAGAACAUUGGAUACUGCUCGCUCUCUCAUAUCUCAAGGGUAUGAAUAUGCUUGCUGCUAUUGGUUUGUUAUUCUUAGAUGAAGAGACAACUUUUUGGUAUUUGGCGACAGUUAUUGAGAAGUUAAUGCCUUCCAGAUAUUUUUCUGAAGAACGGCCAGCUGCACAAGCAGACCAAGCACGUGUACAUGUACAUGUACAUCGAAAUAAAAUGGUGUUCAUUUGACCAAAUCAAUUUGAUUUGGAGAAAAAUGGUGACUCAAAAUUUGAAGAAAUUUUAUUGAAAUUUUAUCCUUUAUUGAAUGAGC